rnacentral:rRNA from 1 species
ACUCCUACGGGAGGCAGCAGUGGGGAAUAUUGCGCAAUGGGCGAAAGCCUGACGCAGCGACGCCGCGUGGGGGAUGACGGCCUUCGGGUUGUAAACCCCUUUCGCCAAGGACGAAGCUUUUUGUGACGGUACUUGGAGAAGAAGCACCGGCCAACUACGUGCCAGCAGCCGCGGUAACACGUAGGGUGCAAGCGUUGUCCGGAUUUAUUGGGCGUAAAGAGCUCGUAGGCGGCUUGUCGCGUUGAUC